rnacentral:lncRNA from 1 species
UGCCUCUGUGCCCUGGCUGAAUGCUCCCCCUCUACCAUAUUUCUUUGAACUCGGGGUCGUGGGACUGAGCCUGUAGGGGCCAGCACACCCUCCUGCUGGGGCUUCUCCGGAGUGUGUCAUCCUCCCUGUCCCCAGAUCAGGUGUCUCUGGCACAGGGCUAGCACCAGGCUCCAGUGCUGAGCAUGCCAGGCUGUGUAUGUCCCCACCUUGCUUCCCACCUUGCACUUUGGAAGCUGAAGGUGCUUUCUUCAGAACCCUAAAAAGGCUGUUGAAGGUGCCCCCGGCAGCAGCCCAGCAAUGGUUGGUGAGAGGCGGAGGGCAGUGGUUCUCCCAAAUAGGAGUCCUGGGGCCUGGCCAGGGUUUGGGCCUAAUGGCUUCUACUAAAUUACCCCUAUCCCCCUCCUUUCAGCACCACUCGCUAUCAUUCUGCUCUGACCUUGAAGGGGGCGGUGUUGGCCUGCCUUCUGGAAUGGACAGAGUCGCUGUGGAAAGGGCUGGGGGCAGGCGGAGGUGGGGAGGGGCGCUGCCUGCGGAAGGUAGGAUUAGAUCAUUAGCUCAGUGACCUCCUAGGGUUUCGAUGUGCUGUGUUCUCAUCCUACAGCUGGUUUGGUAAUGAUCUGCAAGUCCCGGAGAGCAACAGCACAGCUCUGCCUGACGCUCUCAUUAAAAUCUAUGCAGCCAAGCUCGGCGCUUUGUAGCAGCCGGCCUUGCGAAGCCUUCUCAGCUUGGGGGGCUGGGGACCCAGUCAGCCAAGGGGCCCUCUGGGCUCUACUUAUGCAUAUGUGCACCAAAAAAAAAAUGCUUCUUUAAAUCCAGAGCCCUUUAAGAUGAUAAAGGACCCUAUGCAGGUAAUUGUGUGUCUUUGAAAUCGUGUAAUUGUAGAAUGCAGAGUUUAGUGAUUAUUUAAACUGAGCCGAGGCUGGUAAGAGUAUGGAACUAUGACCCAUAAGGACUCUUAAGCGCUGAAGCCAAGGAGCCACCUCCCUUCCCUGGUCUGCCUAACCCUGGGGCCCUGCCCCCAUUCCUGUGGCCCAGGGGCCCAGCUUCCAGUCGGCAGUGUCAGAAGUGACUGUGGCUUUGCCGUGGUUGUGAGAUGACUACAUUCCAAAGGAGCAGCCGCGAGGAGGGGGCAGGCUCAGCGAUCCCUUGGAGGUUCAGAGCAGCUGGCCCAAGCUCCAGCUCGCCUCCAGCGGAAGCUCAAGCGCCCUCAGAAACGACCCUGGCCAAUGUCACCGCAGAGCCGAGGCGGCGUUGUCAGGGCUAAUGUGAAACCUCUUUCCAUGGCGCCGAUCCUCCGGCUCUGCAGCGCCAGCUUGGACGGAUUGAGGUCUCUGUGGCUUUGGUGACCCUGCUUAAGCAUUCCCACCGUGUCCCAGCUCUGCUUCCUGGGGGCAUCUGGCUUUGAGUUCUGCUGGGGUCCAGCUGACCUGGGACCAGGUGCCGCCCAGAGAUGUGCCUCAUUCUGUGCCUCAGUGAGGGCUAGGGAACAAUUUCGUUAUUGUAUUACCUUUACUCAGUUAACUCACUUGAGAAACUAACCAGUUUUACUUUCUGUCUCGAAUGAUGUACAUGUAGGAGGGCGAGCUGUAAUGUUCCCAAAGUGCCUUGUUUUCUCUGAUAUAAAUAUAUUUAUAAGGACCUAUUCCAGUGGAUUCUUGGGUGUGUUUGCCUCAUCAAGAUUUUAGAGAGUGGGUAUAUAUGCAUUGGGAAUACAGUCUGAAAAUGGGCCCCUUUCCUCUGAGAAUAGGAAAGGACCUCUAGUAGGAAAUUUGAGCAGUGGGGUUAAGCCAAACCCCUAAAGUGACCCUUUCCUCUUUACCCUACUCCUCUUCAGGUCCUUAGAAGGAUGUCCAGUUUUUUUUUAAAGCCCUGUGGCUCCAAGCCUGGUCUCAUUUGCUUCCCUGCCAGGCUCAUGUGA